rnacentral:sRNA from 16 species
UAGACUGAGGAUCGCCCCCCGUCAGCGCGUUGCGCCCACGGGGGCUCUACUG